rnacentral:rRNA from 1 species
GACGAACGCUGGCGGCGUGCCUAAUACAUGCAAGUCGAACGCAGUGGGGACGGGUGAGUAACACGUGGGUCACCUCCCAUCAGAGGGGAUAACACUUGGAAACAGCUGCUAAACCGAUACUGAUGGAUGGACCCGCGGUGCAUUAGCUAGUUGGUGGGGUAACGGCUCACAAAGGCCAAGAUGCAUAGCCGACCUGAGAGGGGAAGCGGCCACACGGGGACGGAGACACGGCCCAGACUCCUACGGGAGGCAGAAGUAGGGAAUCUUCGGCAAUGGACGAAAGUCUGACCGAGCAACGCCACGUGAGUGAAGAAGGUUUUCGGAGCGUAAAACGCUGUGGUUAGAGAAGCGGUAUCUAACCAGAAAGCCACGGCUAACUACGUGCCAGCAGCCGCGGUAAUUC